CCACGACAGCCCAACCCUGACUGGCGUUACUCUGCCUCCCUGAGAGCAGGCAUGCACAGCUCUGUGCACCUAGAGGAGGCUGGCAUUCUACGGGCUGGUCCAGGAGGGCCUGAUCAGCAGUGGCCAACAGUAUCCAGUGCAACACCAGAACCAGAGGCAGGAGAAGUGUCCCCUCCAGUCGGUGCGGGUGUCAACAGCAACAGCUGGACCUUUAAAUACGGACCAGGCAACCCCAAACAAUCCGGUCCCGGUGAGUUGCCCGACAAAUUCAUUAUCCCAGGAUCUCCUGCAAUCAUCUCCAUCCGGCAGGAGCCUACUAACAGCCAAAUUGACAAAAGUGACUUCAUAACCUUCGGCAAAAAGGAGGAGACCAAGAAAAAGAAGAAAAAGAAGAAGGGUAACAAGACCCAGGAGAAAAAAGAGAAAGGGAACAGCACGACUGACAACAGUGACCAGUGAGGUCCUCAAAUGGAAACAAGCCACUUAGCCAGUUUUUGUAAUAAUGGCAAAUCUCUCCCAUGUAGCAAUUCCCUGCUCCUUUUUCCUAUCUACAUGAGCCCUCUUAGAGACCUCAGAAAUCUGCAGAAAGUUCCCUGUGUCUGUCUAGAACGCAUUUAACAGGUUUUGUCGUAAAAGCUUUACUAAGUCUGGUGUUAACUCUUUCUCUCCACUCUGGCUUGUUUUCAGAACCUAAAAAGCAGACCCAAGUUUCCUUUCUCCUCCGCCGCAAAGGAGAGGCUUCCCAGCCCCGCCAGUGAGAGGUUGGACUCUCUGCCCUGUGCUCCGGGGAUCCUGUCUUGAUGACACUUGCAGGGCAGGCUGAAAAGUUUUGAGAUUGAGCAGCUUGGGAGUUUGUGGCCACUGGGUAUGUGUGGCUACCGCGGGUAUGCGAGUGCCAGAUAUUGGCUGAGACGAGCCAGCUUAGACUAAUUGGUACAAGGAAGGCAAGAAAACAAAGACAAAUAAACAGCGGAAGUUAUCAGUAUGGAGGGGAAGUGUAAACUUAAAGGGACCAGACUUUCUAAAUCUUACAACUCAAGAGGUGGCAGCCACCCUCUAGGAGACAAAACUACCCCCACUGACAAGGCUUUAGGAGACCCUAAAGUCUGUUGGCUGUGACGUCAUUAUACCUAAAAUCUGCAUCAUACCUGCAAGCCAACAGUUCAGUGUUUUAACAGAGAACCACCCUGGGAAACAGAAGCAGAUCUGAUGUGUUUCCUAUACAUGUCCUGUGCUCACUUUAUUAAAAAUUCUUUUGCACACAAUGUUUAUGAAAAGGCCAGAUCCUUUUCCAAUACUUAUGCAAAAGCAAAAGAAAACCCCGACACCUCACCUUUCGCUGUUUGUUGUUUCAUAGAUUUAUUUAAAAAAAGAGAAAGUCUAUAGCUAUAAAUCUUUAAAGAGAAAUAUGAAUACAAUUCCCCUAAACUCUCCUCAAAAGAGAAUUCAGUCUACAGCCAUUUAAAUGAUCAUUGCUGCUACAGAAGUGCUUUAAGAGAAUUGCCUGAAACAUCUGUAUUAUAUCGGCCACCUGCCAAUCACAGCUUUACUCUUUCAGGUCACUCUGGGGCUGCCUCUUGCAUGUAUUACUAAAUAAAAUGAUCUCUCUUUCUCUCUCUCUCUCUCUUUUCUAAGAAACAAUUAUGUGCACUUUGAUACACAACCUUCUCUAACCAACUAUAUAUCAAGACCCAAAAAUUGAAGAAAAAUAUUGUUUUCUCAUACAGUGAGCAGAUUUUUCAAUCUACUAAUUCUGUGACUUGUCUUGGUGUGCUAGCCUACACCUUCUCUUUGGUUUAGUUUUCCUUUUCUAUAACACUCUGAAUUGCUAAUCUUACUAACACCUAUGAUGUUACCUGAAAUCAAUCUCCCAUAUGUAUGCUGUAUGCUAUGCUAAGACUCCUGAAAUAUACUUACUCUGUGCUUGUGUAUGUGAAUGUUAAUGCAACUAUUACCUAGAGUGAACUUUAAGCUUUAUUGUUGAAUGUAAUUCCAUUAUAUUUCCUUUUGUACACCUGUGAAAAAGUGGAGUAGUGUUUUUUUAACCAUUGUUAAUCAGCUUUUGUGUAUGAAAGACACAGUAAAAUUUCUUUCUUAAAUCAAGAUACUGGUGAUUCAAGGAAUUUUAUUUAUGGUCCAGCCAAGAGCCAUCUCGUGCCAAGACUUCUGCUGGCAAGGGAAUGGAUAAAGCUGUUUUGUUCUAGUAACAAUUUUGGAAUGAAUACUGACAAUAUUCCAUGAGGGUGUGCAAGCACAAAUUUUACCAAUCUGACCUCUUUGAAGUUGCAGAAUGCUUUGAAAUUCUAAUGGUAUCUGAAAUAUCAGCUCAUAGAAAGUAACAAAAUUUGCUGUCACCUUAAAUAAGACAUUUUAAUUUUGUUAUAAUGUACAAUUUAGAAGUUUGAUUAAUUAUAUUAUCUAUUUAGGCAUUAAUAUAAAAGAGGUAGGAGUCUGUUAUUUAAAAAAAGCAUUAAAUUUAAAAAAAAACUGUCUUGUCUACUUUUAGCUUCAUUCUCCCAUAUUUUGAAGGGUGUGUAACUUCAGCUCUGCAGGAUUGCAUGGGGUAAAACUUGUUACCAACACAUGUGAACCAUUGCUACAUUGUAGGUUGUGAUCAUUUUGCCCCACUGAAGCCCAUGUAUCUGACCUUACGUGCCUUUUGAACUAGGAGAAUCGGGCUAAUUUAUUAAUGAUGAUAAUUAUAAUGUAUCUGUACAGCACUUUUUACAUUUGCGAAGUGCUUUCCAAUCCAUGUUAGUUACUAGUUAUUACAGCUGUAAGGAUAAAACACGUCAUGUGGAUUCAUUUUGAAUUGGUGCUAUUGGUAUUUCCUCUGUUAUUGCUAAUAAAUGAAAAUGGUGGUAUG